rnacentral:tRNA from 1 species
GGUUGUGGCUCUGUGGCAGAGUGCUUGCCUAGCAUGCAGGAGGCCCUGGGUUCGAUCCUCAGAACCA